GGUCACCAUAGAGGGAUUCUUAAAGAGUUCAAGGGACACUAUUCUCACAGUGGAGCGGACUUCUUCUAAGAAAAAGUCUAUUGGAAAGAAAAAGGCAAAAUAUGCUAAGAAGCAGAAAAAAAGGGAAUGGGCCAAAGAAAGAAGUUUCUAGCAAGGCCGAAGCAAAGAGAAAAUAUUUUUACUGCCAUACUGAAGGCCACUAG
rnacentral:lncRNA from 1 species